GAAUGGUAUAGUGUUUCCACUGUUGGUAU
rnacentral:piRNA from 1 species